rnacentral:rRNA from 1 species
AGUGAACGCUGGCGGCAGGCCUAAUACAUGCAAGUCGAACGGCAGCACAGUGGAGCUUGCUCCAUGGGUGGCGAGUGGCGGACGGGUGAGGAAUACAUGGGAAUCUGCCCAGUCGUGGGGAUAACGUAUGGAAACGUACGCUAAUACCGCAUGCGCCCUUCGGGGGAAAGUCGGGGGACCGCAAGGCCUGACGCGAUUGGAUGAGCCCAUGUUCGAUUAGCUAGUUGGCGGGUAACGGCCCACCAAGGCGACGAUCGAUAGCUGGUCUGAGAGGAUGAUCAGCCACACUGGAACUGAGACACGGUCCAGACUCCUACGGGAGGCAGCAGUAGGGAAUAUUGGACAAUGGGCGCAAGCCUGAUCCAGCCAUGCCGCGUGAGUGAAGAAGGCCCUCGGGUGUAAAGCUCUUUUGUUUGGGGAAGAAAAGCAGUUGGUAAUACCCGA